rnacentral:sRNA from 1 species
GCACUGCACCGGAGGUGUGGUGAGUACUGCAGAAGCCGAGACACAAGAUCUACAGCUUCAGAUGGCAUUCUUUUAUGAAAACCUUGUGCCAUGGGUGAGCUUUGAUUUGGGGGAACUUAAACUCAGUGUAGUUCGGAUUCAUAUGUUUGAUUUCUUCCCUUGUUGGAGUACCCAAUGUUACCUUGAUAAUUUCAACAAGUUGGUCGACGCCACUGUCACCAGGAAAAACAGGCUAACCAACAGCAAAUAAUUCAGAGAAAACACAGCCAGCAGACCACACAUCAAUAGCUGUCGUGUACUCUGUAGCCCCAAAUAUGAGUUCUGGGGCUCUGUAGUAUCUAGAACAGAUAUAUGAAAUAUUUGGUUCCCCUUUCACCUAUGGACACGGCAAGACAAAUGAUAACCAGUUAACCACAGUACAUACCAAUAUAUUCUGUGGCUUUAUAUCUCUGUGGCAUACUCCCACACAGUUAUGAAUGCGCCUGCAACCUUACCUGGUACAUAUAAAGUUUAACAUAAAUCAAUGGCAUGCGUUGGCUCAUCUUAUUGUAAUGUCUAAUAACACGAUGAACAGUUUCUGGCACAUAUUCAAGAACCAAGUUGAGGUAUAGCUCCUCCUUCGCAGUAGUCGAGCAAAAGUAAUGCUUCAAGCAUGCAACAUUUGGGUGAUCGAGAACUUGCAUCGUUUGCAGCUCCCGGUUCUUGUAUCUCGCAUCUUGAAGAACUUUCUUUACAGCAACUCUCUCACCAGUUUCUAGACACUUAGCCUGUCAAAGA